rnacentral:tRNA from 2 species
GCGCUUGUAGCUCAGUUGGAUAGAGCAACCGCCUUCUAAGCGGUCGGUCGGGGGUUCGAAUCCCUCCAGGCGCGCCA